GAUGAACGCUGGCGGCGUGCCUAAUACAUGCAAGUCGAGCGAACAGACGAGGAUCUUGCUGCUCUGACGUUAGGCGAGGACGGGUGAGUAACACGUGGAUAACCUACCUAUAAGACUGGGAUAACUACGGGACACCGGAGCUAAUACCGGAUAAUAUAUUGCACCGCAUUGUUCAAUAGUGAAAGACGGUUUUGCUGUCACUUAUAGCUGGAUCUGCGCCGCAUUAGCUAGUUGGUAAGGUAACGGCUUACCAAGGCAACGAUGCGUAGCCGAGCUGAGAGGGUGUUCGGCCGCACUGGAAGGGAGACAGGGACCAGACUCCUACGGGAGGGAGCAGUAGGGAAUCGUCCGCAGUGGGCGGAAGUCUGACGGAGCGACGGCGCGUGUGAGACGAAGGCCUUCGGAUCGUAAAGCUCUGUUAUUGGGGAAGAACAGAUGUGUAAUGAGCUGUGGACGGAUUGACGGUACCUAGUCAAAAAGCAACGGCUAACUACGUG
rnacentral:rRNA from 1 species